rnacentral:rRNA from 1 species
UGGGGAAUAUUGGACAAUGGGGGCAACCCUGAUCCAGCAAUGCCGCGUGUGUGAAGAAGGUCUUCGGAUUGUAAAGCACCUUCGACGGGGACGAUGAUGACGGUACCCGUAGAAGAAGCCCCGGCUAACUUCGUGCCAGCAGCCGCGGUAAUACGAAGGGGGCUAGCGUUGCUCGGAAUGACUGGGCGUAAAGGGCGUGUAGGCGGUUUACACAGUCAGAUGUGAAAUCCCCGGGCUUAACCUGGGAGCUGCAUUUGAUACGUGUAGACUAGAGUGUGAGAGAGGGUUGUGGAAUUCCCAGUGUAGAGGUGAAAUUCGUAGAUAUU